UACGAAGGGGGCAAGCGUUGUUCGGAAUUACUGGGCGUAAAGGGCGCGUAGGCGGCUUAUCAAGUCAGGCGUGAAAUUCCCGGGCUCAACCUGGGGGCUGCGCUUGAUACUGAUUGGCUUGAAUGCGGGAGAGGAUAGUGGAAUUCCCAGUGUAGAGGUGAAAUUCGUAGAUAUUGGGAAGAACACCGGUGGCGAAGGCGACUUUCUGGCCUGUUCUUGACGCUGAGGCGCGAAAGCUAGGGGAGCAAACGGG
rnacentral:rRNA from 1 species